GACGAACGCUGGCGGCGUGCUUAACACAUGCAAGUCGAACGAUGAACCCGGAGCUUGCUCCGGCGGAUUAGUGGCGAACGGGUGAGUAACACGUGAGUAACCUGCCCUUGACUCUGGGAUAACUGCGGGAAACUGUAGCUAAUACCGGAUACGACCCUCGGCGGCAUCGCCAGGGGGUGGAAAGAAUUUCGGUCAAGGAUGGACUCGCAGCCUAUCAGCUAGUUGGUGAGGUAACGGCUCACCAAGGCGACGACGGGUAGCCGGCCUGAGAGGGUGACCGGCCACACUGGGACUGAGACACGGCCCAGACUCCUACGGGAGGCAGCAGUGGGGAAUAUUGCACAAUGGGCGCAAGCCUGAUGCAGCAACGCCGCGUGAGGGAUGACGGCCUUCGGGUUGUAAACCUCUUUUAGUAGGGAAGAAGCGAAAGUGACGGUACCUGCAGAAAAGCACCGGCUAACUACGUGCCAGCCGCCGCGGUAA
rnacentral:rRNA from 1 species